GCCGAACUGGUGGUUUGGUGGAGU
rnacentral:siRNA from 1 species